rnacentral:rRNA from 1 species
CGUGUGGAUGGGUAGGGGAGCGUCGUGUGGCGAGUGAAGUCGCGGGGUGACCCAGCGGUGGACGCCACACGAGUGAGAAUGCAGGCAUGAGUAGCGUGUGACGGGUGGGAAUCCCGUCCGCCGAUUAUCCAAGGGUUCCAGGGUCAAGUUUGUCUGCCCUGGGUGAGUCGGGUCCUAAGGCGAGGCUGACAGGCG